AUUGAACGCUAGCGGGAUGCCUAACACAUGCAAGUCGAACGAGUGGCGGACGGGUGACUAAUAUAUCGGAACGUGCCCAGUAGCGGGGGAUAACUACCCGAAAGUGCGGCUAAUACCGCAUACAAUCGGAGCGGCCGAUAUCGGAUUAGCUAGUUGGUGGGGUAAAGGCACACCAAGGCAACGAUCCGUAGCUGGUGUGAGAGGAUGACCAGCCACACUGGGACUGGGACACGGCCCAGACUCCUACGGGAGGCAGCAGUGGGGAAUUUUGGACAAUGGGCGAAACCCUGAUCCAGCCAUCCCGCGUGUAUGAGAAGGCCUUCGGGUUGUAAAGUACUUUUGGCUGAGAAGCGGUAUCUGCAGAAUAAGCACCGGCUAACUACGUGCCAGCAGCCGCGGUAAUAC
rnacentral:rRNA from 1 species